rnacentral:rRNA from 1 species
UACGAAGGGGGGCUAGCGUUGCUCGGAAUCACUGGGCGUAAAGCGCACGUAGGCGGCUUUCUAAGUCAGGGGGUGAAAUCCUGGAGCUCAACUCCAGAACUGCCUUUGAUACUGGGAGCUCGAGUCCGGAAGAGGUGAGUGGAACUCCGAGUGUAGAGGUGAAAUUCGUAGAUAUUCGGAAGAACACCAGUGGCGAAGGCGGCUCACUGGUCCGGUACUGACGCUGAGGUGCGAAAGCGUGGGGAGCAAACAGGAUUAGAA